ACAUUGCGCCCUGCCUGUUUACCUUCAAGAAGCACCCCACAAUAGACAGAUUUGUUUCCUCCACUUCUGAAAGUUUCUGACUACAGAAAAUAUUUAUGCAGUAGCAACAAAUCAUUAAAAAUGUUACCUCUUUAUACUGUGGUUCACAGAUCCACCCUGCACUCUUGUGGUGUCCUCUAUGUGAUUAGGGGAGGGCUGUCCUUUACCUCAUUUGAUUUACUGCUUAGACCAAAGUGGCCGUGUCUAAGCAUUGCUAAGGCGUAUGCACUCAGAUUCAUGGGCUCAUAUCAUGAUGAGGAGUAUUCACUAAUGAAGCAUCGUCUCUUCCUGCUAUUAUUUAUGAUUUGGGCAUUUUCCCAAACAACCAGAUAUCCUCAGCAUUAUGUGCAAUAAGACCCUUCACAUCCUACUUGGUUUUCAUAGUCAUCUGAAAAUACAGAGGGCUACCAAAGCAGUUUGUAAUGUAUCUCAAUGGCCCUGGAUUCAAUCCUAUCACACACACACACAUUACAUGUGCUUUGCUUACUUUUAUGCAAGAGUAACUACUGUUUUCAUUAUUCUUUUGAGGGGGAUUGGGUUUUUGUUUUGUUUGGGUUUUUUUUUUUUUUUUUUGGUUUGGUUUUUUUGUUAUUGUUGUUGUUUUGGGGGUUUUUUGUUUCUUUUUUUUUUUUUUUCCCGAGAAAGGGUUUUUCUGUGUAACCCUGGCUGUCCUGGAACUCACUCUGUAGACCAGGCUGGUCUCGAACUCAGAAAUCUGCCUGCCUCUGCUUCCCAAGUGCUGGGAUUAAAAGCUCGCGCCACCACCGCCCAGCCAUUUUCAAUAUUCUUGUUUCUCCCCACACCCUAAAAAGUUAUUAUCUAAUCUGAUACCACUUGCAUGUAAGUGCCUGGGUGACCCAUCCAAUAUUUAUUAUAUUUUCUAGCAUAUUAUAUAUUAAGUUCAGUGCCCGGCCGCUUAGCUUAUCCUGUACAGCCCCUUUUGAUGAUAGUUUUAAAAGACAGGUCUACACUUGCUAUCCUGUGACAUUAUUUUAUUAGGUGGUGCUGUGGAGGGCUAUUAGUUGACUCCUGUCUUAUCUGGACCCUUCAACAGCAGUUUUGUCACAGCAAGACUCUAUGGCACUACUUCUGUUAACUUGUCCAUGACUCCCCACAGUUAUUUUUAUACAUCCUCUCUGGUAGGAUUCUUAGGUAUUUGUGGUUAAAUGAACAUUUUCUUGGAUACAGAAUAGUAUCAUCAACCAAAACAGAAGAGCCCUUCUCCUGUGAAGUAUCUUCCUCUUCCUAAUGCUAGGAUGAGACCAAGUCUCCAGCUGGGCCUGGCAGUCCGUCUUUCUGGGGUAAUGAAAUGAGCAGAGUUGAUUGAGGUGUAGCUGGACUGUAUCACUGCUUUUCAUUGUGCCAAGAGAUCAAAGCAGUGUACAAAUAGAGGCUUAGUCUAGGAAAUAUUCAAAACAGAUGGCUCGUUCUUUCAGUGAAAAUUCGGAUUUUAAGGCAGAACACUUGUUAACAAGACUUCAUUGAAAGAUGGUCAACUAUGGCUGUUUCUUCCUAGAUUUCAAGACUAUAAUCACAAACUUUUUGUAUAAGGAGGUAGUUGACAAACUUUUUGUAUAAGGAGGUAGUUGGCAAACUUAGAGUGGCCUUUAGCUGCUUUUCCUGUGGCUAUGAAAUAAGUUAUUCAGAUUUUGCUUUUGGCACUCUGGAUAUCAAAUGAAAACAUCUUGAAUUUGCUCCUCAUUUUGUUGGUUGGUCAGUAUUUUAAUAUCUGGUAUUCAUAUUGUUAUAUCCCCCUGGGGCUGAAUCAGGAUGGUAGUACUGUGUGCCAUGUUUUAACAAGGUAAAGGCACAUUCUGUGUACUCCUUUGCUGUUUACACUUGAGUCCUCAGUUUAACAUAGAAAAAUUCAAUUAGUAUAUGUGGCUUAAAGUUUUCAUUAUUUUGGUCUAAAACUUAUUGAAGUGAGAAAUAAAAUUAACCCAUAAAUAUUUUCUGGACAUAUCCUGUGUACCUAUGAUAUACCAGUUUCAUGGGGAAUAAAUGAAUGUCCCAAGGCCAUUAAACACUACAAAAUGGAUUUUUCUACAACAAGAAAAAUUGUACAAAUUGCCAUGGGAAACCUCAGUAGAGACUCAGUAGUUAAAAUGUACUAUGAUAUUUGAGCUAACUCCUAAAGGAGCAGUAAACAUCUGCCAGACAGAUUGACCUUAUACAAGUCAUGAACAGCUUUUGCAAAGGCUUAGAAGUAUAAACGACAUAAUACGGUUAGUGCCUUUUCUACAAUAGUUCACUGUAGAUAGUGCUGUGUAUAUUAGUCAUUUUCUUUGCUAUGCAACACAUACCAAAAUACGGUAACCUAAGAGAGCACUUAACACUAAUUUAUUUUAAAAUUUAUUUUUAUUUUAUGUCUGUCAGCAUUUUGCCUGCAUAUAUACAUUGUGUGUGCCUUGUGCCAAAGGAGGGCAGAAAAAGGUAUCAGAUGCCCUGGAAUUGGAGUUAAAGAGAGUUGUGAGCCUCUAUGUGGGAGCUGGAAACUGAACUCAGGUUCUCUGGGAAAGCAGCAGGUACUCUUAACCACUUAGCUUUCUAUCGAGCCCCAGUAAACGUGCAUUAAUUUUGUUUUCUGGGAUACUAUCUCUUACUUGGAUCUCUUGUGGAAUGGAGUCAAAUUAUCACUGAGGACUGCAGUUAUCCACAGGCUUGCCUUGGGCUGGAUCAUCCAGUUUACACUGCAGUUAAUGCUAGGCUUAGUUCCAUGAGGUCCAUUUAUUAAUUGUUGCUCUUAGAGCCAGUGCUAAUGGUGUUCUGUUCAGAGAGUCUUUUCAGUGCCAAUGAGUUCCAGGCUGUUCCCCCACAUUCUCUUCAGUCAGGUUUGAUGUAUCUAAUUUUAAAUUGAGGUUUUUGAUCCAUUGGAAUUGAAUUUUGUGCAGAGUGGUAAGUAUGGCUCUAUUUGGAUUCUUUUUCAUGCAGCCAUCCAGUUUGACCAAUACUGUUUGUUGAAGAUCCUGUCUUUUUUUUCCAGUGUGUAUUUCUGCCCUCAUUAUU
rnacentral:lncRNA from 1 species